UUGCGAGAAAAAUAAUUUGAGGGAAAAUUUUGUUUUCGAAAAUUUUUGGCGGGAAAAUUGUUUUGGAAGAUUUUAGGCGAAAAAAUAUUAAUAUUUCAUUUUGUUAACUUAAAACAAUUUCUAAAUAGGGGUAAAAUGGUCAUUAAAAAUUUAAAGAAGGUAGAAAUGAAAAUGGCUAAAAAAAGGGUAGAGUUGAAAAGGGGCAUCUUGAAAAGGGCAUUUAGGAGAAUUUUUCUUUUAUAACAAUGUAACAACUGAUUGUUUUUCUGUAAUCAAAUUUCACACUUUCUUUCUGAAAAUAAUGACUCCAAGGUAAGAACGGUCCGAAACAUAGAAUCUUACGAAAGUAAAUCGACUAAUAAAUUAAUACUUGAUAAAUUAAUAACCUCUAUAAAUUAAUAAAUUCUUCCGGUCCGGAGUAGAGACCAGUGUAAAAAGUGACACAAAUCGAUAAAUUAAUAAGAUAAUAAU
rnacentral:sRNA from 1 species